rnacentral:rRNA from 1 species
UACGAAGGGGGCUAGCGUUGUUCGGAAUUACUGGGCGUAAAGCGCACGUAGGCGGAUUUGUAAGUCAGGGGUGAAAUCCCGGGGCUCAACCUCGGAACUGCCUUUGAUACUGCAAGUCUUGAGUCCGAUAGAGGUGAGUGGAAUUCCUAGUGUAGAGGUGAAAUUCGUAGAUAUUAGGAAGAACACCAGUGGCGAAGGCGGCUCACUGGAUCGGUACUGACGCUGAGGUGCGAAAGCGUGGGGAGCAAACAGGG